rnacentral:rRNA from 1 species
GAUGAACGCUGGCGGCGUGCCUAAAACAUGCAAGUCGAGCGGUAAGGCCUCUUCGGAGGUACACGAGCGGCGGACGGGUGAGUAACACGUGGGAAUCUACCCCAAACUGAGGGAUAAGCACCGGAAAUGGUGUCUAAUACCGCAUAUGGUCUUCGGAUUAAAGCUUCGGCGGUUUGGGAAGAGCCCGCGUAGGAUUAGCUAGUUGGUGAGGUAAAGGCUUACCAAGGCGACGAUCUUUAGCUGGUUUGAGAGGAUGAUCAGCCACACUGGAACUGAGACACGGUCCAGACUCCUACGGGAGGCAGCAGUUAGGAAUUUUCCACAAUGGGCGCAAGCCUGAUGGAGCAACGCCGCGUGCAGGAUGAAGGUUUUCGGAUUGUAAACUGCUUUUAUGUGCGAAGAAUAUGACGGUAACACAUGAAUAAGGAUCGGCUAACUCCGUGCCAGCCGCCGCCGUAA